GGGUGGUAAUGCCGGAUGCUCCAGUUGAUCGCAUGGUCUUCUGGGAAAGCUUUCGCGGUAUGGGAUGGGGUCGCGUCCUAUCAGCUUGACGGCGGGGUAACGGCCCACCGUGGCUUCGACGGGUAGCCGGCCUGAGAGGGCGACCGGCCACAUUGGGACUGAGAUACGGCCCAGACUCCUACGGGAGGCAGCAGUGGGGAAUAUUGCACAAUGGGCGCAAGCCUGAUGCAGCGACGCCGCGUGAGGGAUGGAGGCCUUCGGGUUGUAAACCUCUUUUAUCGGGGAGCAAGCGAGAGUGAGUUUACCCGUUGAAUAAGCACCGGCUAACUACGUGCCAGCAGCCGCGGUAAUACGUAGGGUGCAAGCGUUAUCCGGAAUUAUUGGGCGUAAAGGGCUCGUAGGCGGUUCGUCGCGUCCGGUGUGAAAGUCCAUCGCUUAACGGUGGAUCCGCGCCGGGUACGGGCGGGCUUGAGUGCGGUAGGGGAGACUGGAAUUCCCGGUGUAACGGUGGAAUGUGUAGAUAUCGGAAAGAACACC
rnacentral:rRNA from 1 species